rnacentral:sRNA from 1 species
AAGAAUGCGAUCGCCGACAUGAGGUCGGAA